rnacentral:rRNA from 1 species
AUUGAACGCUGGCGGCAUGCUUUACACAUGCAAGUCGGACGAGUGGCGAACGGGUGAGUAACGCAUCGGAACGUACCGAGUAAUGGGGGAUAACUGCCCGAAAGGACAGCUAAUACCGCAUAUUAUUCGAGCGGCCGUUGUCGGAUUAGCUGGUUGGCGGGGUAAAGGCCCACCAAGGCGACGAUCAGUAGCGGGUCUGAGAGGAUGAUCGGCCUACCUGGGGCUGAGACACGGCCCAGACUCCUAGGGGGGGAAGCGGUAGGGUAUUUUGGACGUUGGGCGCAAGCCUAAUCCAGCCAUGCCGCGUGUCUUAAGAAGGCCUUCGUGAUGUAAAGGUCUUUUGUCAGUGAAGCGGUACCUGAAGAAUAAGCACCGGCUAACUACGUGCCAGCAGCCGCGGUAAUUC